UAGCAGGUUGGGUUUUGUGUGAACUAGGU
rnacentral:piRNA from 1 species